rnacentral:rRNA from 1 species
UAGGGAAUCUUCGGCAAUGGACGAAAGUCUGACCGAGCAACGCCGCGUGAGUGAAGAAGGUUUUCGGAUCGUAAAACUCUGUUGUUAGAGAAGAACAAGGACGUUAGUAACUGAACGUCCCCUGACGGUAUCUAACCAGAAAGCCACGGCUAACUACGUGCCAGCAGCCGCGGUAAUACGUAGGUGGCAAGCGUUGUCCGGAUUUAUUGGGCGUAAAGCGAGCGCAGGCGGUUUCUUAAGUCUGAUGUGAAAGCCCCCGGCUCAACCGGGGAGGGUCAUUGGAAACGGGGAGACUGGAGUGCAGAAGAGGAGAGUGGAAUUCCAGGUGUAGCGGUGAAAUGCGUAGAUAUAGGGAGGAACACCAGUGGCGAAGGCGGCUCUCUGGUCUGUAACUGACGCUGAGGCUCGAAAGCGUGGGGAGCAAACAGG